rnacentral:rRNA from 1 species
UGGGGAAUAUUGCACAAUGGGCGAAAGCCUGAUGCAGCAACGCCGCGUGCGGGAUGACGGCCUUCGGGUUGUAAACCGCUUUCAGCAGGGGCGAAGGUUUUCUGACGGUACCUGCAGAAGAAGCACCGGCUAACUACGUGCCAGCAGCCGCGGUGAUACGUAGGGUGCGAGCGUUGUCCGGAAUUAUUGGGCGUAAAGAGCUUGUAGGCGGUCCGUUGCGUCGGAAGUGAAAACUCAGGGCUUAACCCCUGAGCCUGCUUUCGAUACGGGCGGACUUGAGGGAUGUAGGGGAGAACGGAAUUCCUGGUGGAGCGGUGGAAUGCGCAGAUAUCAGGAGGAACACCAGUGGCGAAGGCGGUUCUCUGGACAUUUCCUGACGCUGAGAAGCGAAAGCGUGGGGAGCAAAACAGGCUUAGAUACCCUGGUAGUCCACGCCGUAAACGGUGGGCACUAGGUGUGGGACCCAUUCCACGGGUUCCGUGCCGUA